rnacentral:rRNA from 1 species
UUCCGUGGUUAUAGCGAGAGGGAAACACCUGGUUCCAUCCCGAACCCAGUAGUUAAGGCUCUUUGCGCUGAUGGUACUGCACUUUGGAGGGUGUGGGAGAGUAGGUCACCGCGGGUU